AGCUUUCUCAAUCCGUGAAGAGAUUUCGUCAGACACUAACCCAUUAAGGCUGAUCAGACUGAAGAUAGGUGAAGUU
rfam:Schistosoma margrebowiei strain Zambia genome assembly, scaffold: SMRZ_scaffold0001378